AGAAAGUUAGUCUAAUCAAAGACAGUUGAUUUCGACUCAACAAACCAUAGCUUCACCCUAUGACUUUCUC
rnacentral:tRNA from 1 species